GAAGGAAGCCGCAGCAUUAAAUCUGAGAAAGAGAAAGGUACAGAAGGGAAAAGGCAUUUGUCGAAACGGAAUGUUUCAGAUGUAAUUGUAAAUGUUUGAUGCCGCAUUACCAUCGUAAGAGAAUCGCAUCAAAAGAUUUGUUCAAGAAUUUAACCCGUGGAAUCGUUCACAAAAUUGUGGAAUCCAAAAAAACUGAUUUUAAUGAAAAAACUUGUUCCAGCCAAUUCAAUGAAGUGUUUCAAAAUCUUCCAAAAAUUGAAACUCAAGAGCAAAUCGAUGUCAUCGUUGCAACGUUUUAACUGAAGUUGAUUUUCCGUACCACUAUUUUGUGUAUCAAUGACCCUUCAUUUCUGAAGCUGAGGAAAUGAGGAGUUUACCAACACGGUCUAAUUGUACACAAGUAAAAGUCUAGUCAACUUGACCUCUUCGGUACAUUCAGGAGCCAAGUCUACUACCCCCUCUCAUUCUUUCCUCACAGCAGAACCAGGAGACCUGUUGAGAGGAUGGUUCAAUUUCAUUCAGUCCUCUGCUCAGACUCCAUGUAGUGAAAACGUAAACUUAGUAAGUAACGUUAGCUGUUUGAGGAAAAACUAUAAGAAGACCAUAAAGAUGUGCCUUUAUUUUCAUUUUAUUCCCGUUUUUCCAAUGUCACUUUUAUUCUUAAGUAGGUACAUAUGGAUCACAUUUAGCAAAAGGAACCAGCGCGAUUGCAGUGUUGUAAAAAUGUUGCUUCCUCAUAAUUAUCUAACAAAUCUCCCAGAAUAGUAAAUAGUUUUUCCUUACCACCAAAAAAUUGUUAAUUUUAAAGGAAGAUAGUUGUGUAAAUUUUGAUACUGCACAUAUAUUAAGUAUUUUUAAAAGUAAAGAGGAAGUUGCAAAAUUUUGAAAACACUGUAAUCGCGCUGGUUCCUCUUUGCUAAAUGCGAUCCAUAUUAUUAACUCACAGUUAGUUUUUUUCAUCUUUUGUUUUUUUUAGUUUUGUUGUAGAAGUUUUUAAAGUGUUUUUUAGAAUUCCUUGAAGUGCGAUGAUGAUAUUUACAGAAAAAAGUAUGUAUCAACUUUUUUCAUAAUUUAAGGACAGAGAGGCCCAGUGGAAAAAUUCAGCUCUUGAAGGCAAUGGGGCUCUAGACAAGGUACGAAAUAAAACACUACGCAAGAUGGUUUCUCUUCAAAAUUUCUUUUCAUUUUCGUCGAAACGAAAUCACGCAUCAGGAGGGCUGAAAAUCAAAUCCUAAACAAGUUAUAAGUGUUUACUAUUAACAUUGGUCAAAUGGGAAAAAUAUAAAUGACGUCAUUUGUAUAAUUGGACUUCCACUUGAUCCGUGUUAAAAAUAUUUGCUAAUAUCCCGUUCAGGAGUUGAUUUCCGAAACUCCCGUUGUAUGAUUCGUUUCCAUGAAAGAUUUUGAAGAAAAUUCAUGCGGCAUUAAUUUCUAGUUCAGAUUCUGUCUAGUGAUCCAUUAGGUUAUCUCAUGUGCGAUAUUCAUUUCAAAAGUAUGGAAUCCUUUUUUUUUUAGUCCACAUCAUUGUUUUACAUUUUUUGGGUCGAAAUUUUCUCUAAAAAAAAAAAAGAAAGAAAAGGUGGUGGAGUUGGUUCAUUCAUUUAUUAUGUUCUAAUCACGCAGCAAAAACUUUUGCCACCAUAGCAAUUGGUUUUACUUGUUUAUAUUACCUGAUGGGUUUUCUAAGUUUUCAUCUAAGUUGUCUGAGGCAUUGUAACCACACUGUCAUAACGCACUGCAUAUUUGAAGUAUUCGAAGCAAAUGCAACUUCAAUACACAAAACUUCCUAUUAUCUUGAUUUUGGAUCGCUUUGGUCACUGUGGACAGUCAAAAUACUGACCUGAAACACACUGUAUUUUCUCUUCCUGGUGGUAUCUCAAAUCACCAGAGUUCAAGUACUGGUGCGAAAAAGGUGCAAAGAGAAUACAUAUGGUUGACGGUUUAGUAUUAUCUGUGAAUCUGCUCGGCUAAAAUGAUUUGCAUUGGGAAUACAAGAAAGGCUGUGUCUAUAAUCUUUUCUGCAUUCCCCAUUGAUCUAGAUUUAUAUCGUAGCCCUAAACCAACAGGUGUGGAGUGCAGAAAAGGUUGGGUAGUGCCUUCUGACCUCCUUGUCUUACAACUGUAAUGUAAAUUCGUUUCCUCCAUUUGUCUAACCAUGUGCUUUAUUAAUAUUUGUAAUACAAUACAUGCGCUACGAAUAUUCUUUUACAGUUGAGCAUUGGUUUCUCCAUUGAUUAUUCGGAUUAGUUAGGUUUAGUCAGUUAAGGUAUUGAAAGUUUAGUGUACACCUUUUCUAGUUACAUUGUGCCUGCUGGUGCUUAGGAUUUUCAAAGGAGCCAGCUGGCUGUAGAGGAUUUCUGUACUCCUCUACUUAUAGGCAUGGUCAUAAUACAAGACUUUUUUCAGUGUUGAUUUGUUUCCAGCAGAUUCAGCACUUUCACUUUUGCAUUUUAGAUAAGACGACUUAAGUGGCUAAAAUUAAUUUGAAAACUGAUUAAGAAGUUCAAGUUCACCAUCAGUCGUUUAGGGCAUAUUAGUAUUUAAUGUGUCAAGUCCUUUGUAUCACAGUGAACAGUAAGAAAAUUAUUUCUCAUUACAGAAUUCUUGUUAGUAGAGAGGAAAAAAAAUGGGAAGAAAAGAAAGGGGGGGGGGACGCUAGCUGUAGUCAAAAUUUCCAUCUUACAAUUUAUAAAUAUUUUGUUUUGAACUGAAGGGAUUGUGAAUUGUACAUACAAACUUUUUGACUCGUUGGAAUGUUUUAUUUUUGUAACAUCACAGUAAUUUAUUUUAGAAUUUUCGGAAAAUAAUUACCAGAAAAUAAAGUUAUUUUACCAUUGUAAUUAAAAGUCUGCUUUUUUACUUCUGUCUCUCCUUCAUUUGAAAAAUUUGAAAACCGAAGUUACUCCAUGUGUUGCAGGCGAUAAUAAAAUCA
rnacentral:lncRNA from 1 species